ensembl:ncRNA C41C4.18 ncRNA
AUCGUUGUGAUCAGUUUUUAACUUUUCUCAACAAUAAUCGGUUUACCUAUAGUAUCACGUCACCUCCAUUUCUUCCCUUAACACCUCCAUU